rnacentral:rRNA from 1 species
UACAGAGGUCUCAAGCGUUGUUCGGAUUCAUUGGGCGUAAAGGGUGUGUAGGUGGCGCGCUAAGUCGGGUGUGAAAUUUCGGAGCUUAACUCCGAAACUGCAUUCGAUACUGGCGUGCUUGAGGACUGGAGAGGAGGCUGGAAUUCAUGGUGUAGCAGUGAAAUGCGUAGAGAUCAUGAGGAAGACCAGUGGCGAAGGCGGGUCUCUGGACAGUUCCUGACACUGAGACACGAAGGCCAGGGGAGCAAACGGG